UGUAUAAGAGUAGAACAUUUUGAAUAUGAUGCCUCGGGUUAAUGAUAACUUUUUUUUUUCAACGCCACCUGUAUAUUUGUUGCUCGGGUUAAUGAUAACUUUUUUUUUUUCAACGCCACCUGUAUAUUUGUUGCCUCGGGUUAAUGAUAACUUUUUUCUUUUCAACGCCACCUGUAUAUUUGUUGCCUCGGGUUAAUGAUAACUUUUUUUUUUCCAACACCACCCGUAUAUUUGAUGCCUCGGAUUGUGACUUCGCUAAUUACUUUGAUCUAGUUCAUUUCGUAUCAUAAUCACUUCAUUUCCAUCACCCUUAAUAACAGUAAAUAUUACAUAUAUAAUGUCCUUAAUUUGUUUUUUGUUUUUUUUUUGUUUGGAUAGAUAUGGAUCGAAUGAAGCUUUUAUUGAUCUUAUUGUUAGAGAUGUCUUAUUUGGAGACAAUUUGCAUUUGUACGAUUCUUGUGUUGAUGAUGCUACGUGGCAAACAGAGACAUGUUGAACGACCCACAUUGACUAACCGUUCACUUAUUAGACGAGAGAUUAGUUUGUGUUAUCUGAAUGGUAUAAUAGGGAAUACUGAUAUUGAAUGUGUCAACGAAUUGAGAAUGGAUAGAAGGACUUUUGGCAUAUUAUGUGACUUACUUCGUCAAGAUGGGAGGGUAAAAACUGAUGGUUUGGUGUCUGUAGAGGAGCAGGUGUGUAUGACUUUACAAAUAUUAGCACAUCAUACUAAGAAUCGUAGUGUUGGCGGUAGAUUUUAUAGGUCGGGAGAGACUAUAAGUAGGUAUUUCAAUAUCGUAUUGCAAGGAAUUUUGCGAUUACAAGGUAUCCUACUAAAAGUCCCUCAGCCUGUGCCUAUUGAUUCUACAGAUCCUAGGUGGCGAUGUUUUAAGGUAUGAUGAGAAUUUUUUUUCAUUUUCCCUAAGCUUUAACUCUUCAUUCCCUUUGUAUAAAUUAACAAAAACUUUUUUUUUUUUUUUUUUUUUAAGAAUUGCUUGGGAGCAUUGGAUGGAACACACAUUGAUGUGCAUGUACCUGAAAUUGACAAACCAAGAUACCGAACAAGAAAGGGUCGAGUCGCAACUAAUGUGUUAGGUGUGUGUUCAGGAGAUAUGUAGUUCAUAUAUGUGUUUCCGGGGUGGGAGGGUUCCGCAUCAGACUCUAGAGUGCUACAUGAUGCAAUUACUAGGCCUAAUGGUUUUAAGGUACCAGCGGGUAAGACUAUUACUUAGUCUCAACUUUGUAAGUUAGGUCUAGUUCUGUUUGUCAACUACAAAACACUAAUAAGGUCUGUUUUUUUUUUUCAUUAGGUUAUUAUUACCUUGUAGAUGGUGGUUAUACAAAUGGUGAAGGAUUCCUUGCACCCUAUAGAGGAAUACCUUAUCAUUUAUCUGAAUGGGAGGGACGAACACCUUCUAAUAAGGAAGAAUAUUUUAACAUGAAGCAUUCUAAGGCAAGGAAUGUAAUUGAAUGCUGUUUUGGCUUGCUAAAAGGAAGGUGGUCGAUACUAAGGAGUCCAUCUUUCUAUCCGAUAAGGACACAAGGUCGAAUAAUUACCGCUUGUUGUCUACUACACAAUCUUAUUAGGCAAGAGAUGUCUGUAGAUCCAAUGGAGAAUUUGCCAAUAAUAGAAGAUGGACAAAAUACAAAAGAAGGUGAAUAUGUUGGUAGUGUUCAAACAUCUGACCAGUGGACUGCAAAGAGGAAUGACAUGGCUCAGGAAAUGUAUAACGAGUGGAGAGCAAUUAGGAACUAGCAACCGAACUAGCUAUAUGUGUUAAUGAUAACAUUUUAUUUUAGUAUUC
rnacentral:lncRNA from 1 species